UUUUUUUUUUUUUUUUUUUUUUUUUUAGUAGAAAGCAACGGGUUUUUAAAAAUUCAUUCAUUGAUUCAUUUUUAGUGAGCUCUACACCCAAAAUGGGGCUCAGACUCAAGACCUCAAGAUCAAGCAUCACAUGCUCUACUGACUGAGCCAGCCGGGUUCUUUAAAAGCUUUAUUAGGGCUGGGAGGAGAGGGAGAUGGGGGGGGGGGGCGGGGGGGCUGGGCAGUUCAGUGGGUUAAGCAUCAGACUCUUGAUCUCAGCUCAGGUCUUGAUCUCAGGGUCAUGGGUUCAAGCCCUGAGAUGGGCUCCACGCUAGGUGUGGAGCCUACUUCAAAAAAAAAAAAAGCUUGGGACGCCUGGGUGGCUCAGCGGUUGACGCCGCCUUCAGCCCAGGGCAUGAUCCUGGAGUCCCAAGAUGGAGUCCCACAUCAGGCUCCCUGCAUGGAGCCUGCUUUUCCCUUUGUCUGUGUCUCUGCCUCUCUGCCCGUCCCCUUUGUGUCUCUCAUGAAUAAAUUAAAAUAAUAAUAAUAAUAAUAUUAGAAAUUUACUGCUAUCAAAAUUGCUAAAAUUACAAUAGAAGGGAUGGAGCAUAAAGUCCAGGUCUUCCAAAAUAAAGAGCAAAAGACAAAAGAUGGCAAACAGGAGAAAAAAAAAAAAAAAGAAAUCCAGAUGAUCAGUGUAAGAAGGUCCAAUAUCUAAACAAAAGGAGCUUGGGGGAGGGGGGAAUGAGGGAGGAAAAAGACCAAAAUAAUACAAGAAAACUUCCCAGACCUGAACUACAAGUUUCCUAACUAAAAGGGUUCACUGAGCAUACAGCACAAUAUAAAAACAGACCCACAGUGAGCCAAAUAAUUAGGAAAUCACUAGGAAACAGAAUACUGGCGAGAAAGAGAAGAUCUUACACACUCCAGAGCAAGGUAGAGGGUACCGCACAGGUCCCACACAGGAUAUGGAGUGACUUCAGGCUUCAGUGUUAACUCUAGAACCUAAAAGCAAUAGCUUCAAGAUGCCAAAGGAAAGCAAUUUCCAACCUAGAUCUUUAUAUUCAGCUGACUGAGUAUCAGGCUGGCAAGGUCUCCAAAUAAUCUCCCAUCCAUACGCCCUUCACUCUCAGGAAGCUACUAAAGGACAGACUCUACCAAAACCAAAGAGUAAACCAACAAAGGGGAAGACAUGCACACAGGAGAUCCAACACAGAAGAGCAGUGAAGGAGAUGCUCAAAAUGCUGAAAGGAGGUGCCGAGAGGACAGCUAAGCAUCUGUGAUAGAAAGCAACCAGACCAUGUUGCUGCAGGGCACAAGGCUCUGAAGGAGACUUCUUCAGAAAAGUACGUUUGAUAGAACACCUAAUGGAAUUGACAUCUUGAGAAAUGUAGACAGCUACUGGAAUUUGGCUAAUUAAAAGAUGUGCAGAAAGCUAAGCAAACAAAAGCAACUCCAGGGAGAACAAAAAAUUGUGCAGGACAAGAAAAUUCAUUACAGUUUACUACACCAUAACAAUAUAAACAUAGAGAGUAGACAGAAAGGAAAAUGAGACACUUCUGGAGUGGACAGACUGAAAAAUCAGAAGGGUGGCAAUGAGGGAAAUAAACUCAAAUUCUCAUCUUGGCCACGAUGGAAUAACGAGGAUCAGAUUUACUCUCCUGACUCCAAAAACAACAACAGAAGAUGGACAAAAUAUACAAAAUGGUUUUGAAGACACAAGAUAUCAGGGAACAAAAGACAGUGACACCUAUCACAAGAAGUCAGCCCUAUGGUUGAGUUUCCAAGCUACAGCACAGAAAAGGGAACCAGUCAGACCCAGAAGACUACACAAAUUGAGGAAAUAGAGCCGAGAGUCUGGGGAGUCUCAAGGGGGCAGAGUUCACAGAACAGAGCAUCAGAGAAAAGAGUACCACAGUCUGUAAAGGGACUCCUCAAGUUUUGUUUUUUUUUUUUUUUUUCAAGUAUUUAACUAAACAGUAAUCAUCAAGUGAAUGUGCAGAAAUUACCCAAGGCUGGGGAAAAUAACUAUCUGGAUUAGCAAUAAUGCCUGAUGCUCACAGGCCUGAGAAAAAUGCCUGUUUCCACCAAAUGGGAAAAGCUAGGCAUUGGGUAGAAUUCAGAGAUGGGUCUUGCUUCGGCAGGAGAAUUAGUAGCCCUACAUUGAGCAUAGUUCUGGUACUACCUAACAAGUCUUAAAAACAAAGCCUAAGAUAAUGAAACUGUUUCCAACUCACUGCAUCCUAGAAUAAAGCUCAGAAAUAGUUACAGAAAUACAAAAAGCACCUAGCAAAGAAAUCAGGUAAAAUUUACACUGUCUGGCAUCCACUAAAAAAUUAUUAAGCAUGCAAAAAAGCCAGAACUGUGACCCAUAAUGAGGAGAUAAAGCAAUUAAUCAAAACCAACCUAGAGGGAUCCCUGGGUGGCGCAGCAGUUUACUGCCUGCCUUUGGCCCAGGGCGGGAUCCUGGAGACCCAGGAUCGAAUCCCACGUCGGGCUCCCGGUGCAUGGAGCCUGCUUCUCCCUCUGCUUAUGUCUCUGCCUCUCUCUCUCUCUCUCUGUGACUAUCAUAAAUUAAAACAAACAAACAAACAAAAAAAAAAAAACAAAAACAAAACCAACCUAAACCUGACACAAAUGUCAGAAUCAGCAGACAAGGACAUUAAAAUAAUUAAACAUCUAAAAAUCACUAAAAUUAUUACUAUAAAACUGUAUUACUAUUAAAAAAUAGGUGUGUUUGUAUAUGUUUUUUUUUUUUUUCUUUUUUAAAGUUGGCUCCAUGCCCAGUGGGGAGCCCAGUGCAGGGCUUAAAUUCAUGACCCAGAGAUCAAGACCUGAGCUGAGAUCAAGAGUCCAAUGCUUAACUGACUAAGCCACCCAGGCGCACCUAAAAAUAUACUUUUAAAAAGAGUGUAAUUGGGACACCAGGGUGGCUCAGCAGUGGAGCAUCUGCUUUUGGUUCAGGGUGUGAUCCUAGUGAUCCCAGAGUUCCAGCAUCGAGUCCCACAUGGGGCUCCCUGCGGGAAGCCUUCUUCUCCCUCUGCCUGUGUCUCUGCCUCUCUCUCUCUCUCUAUCAUGAAUAAAUAAAAAAAAAAAAAAAGAAAUGAAGCACUAGAAAUAACUAUAUGGGUAAAUAGUUAAGAUUUUUUUUAUUAUUUAGAUUUUUUUUUUUUUUAAGAUUUUAUUUAUUUAUG
rnacentral:lncRNA from 1 species